rnacentral:rRNA from 1 species
UACGUAGGGUGCAAGCGUUGUCCGGAAUUAUUGGGCGUGAAGAGCUUGUAGGCGGUUUGUCGCGUCUGCUGUGAAAUUUCGGGGCUCAACCCCCGAACUUGCAGUGGGUACGGGCAGACUAGAGUGUGGUAGGGGAGACUGGAAUUCCCGGUGUAGAGGUGAAAUUCGUAGAUAUCGGGAGGAACACCGGUGGCGAAGGCGGCGACCUGGGUAGAUACUGACGCUGAGGUGCGAAAGCGUGGGGGAGCAAACAGGGAGU